rnacentral:tRNA from 1 species
GCGUUUAGUGGAGUAUAUACACUCGUCCUUGGUAAGGAUGAGGUAAUGGGUUCGACUCCCAUCAUCAGCUCCA